CCUACGGGCGGCAGCAGUGAGGAAUAUUGGUCAAUGGGCGUAAGCCUGAACCAGCCAAGUCGCGUGAGGGAUGACGGUUCUAUGGAUCGUAAACCUCUUUUAUAAGGGAAUAAAGUGUGGGACGUGUCCUAUUUUGUAUGUACCUUAUGAAUAAGGAUCGGCUAACUCCGUGCCAGCAGCCGCGGUAAUACGGAGGAUCCGAGCGUUAUCCGGAUUUAUUGGGUUUAAAGGGUGCGUAGGCGGACUUUUAAGUCAGCGGUGAAAGUUUGUGGCUCAACCAUAGAAUUGCCGUUGAAACUGGGGGGCUUGAGUAUGUUUGAGGUAGGCGGAAUGCGUGGUGUAGCGGUGAAAUGCUUAGAUAUCACGCAGAACCCCGAUUGCGAAGGCAGCCUGCCAGGCCAUGACUGACGCUGAUGCACGAAAGCGUGGGGAUCAAACAGGAUUAGAUACCCUUGUAGUC
rnacentral:rRNA from 1 species